GGACGAACGCUGGCGGCGUGCCUAACACAUGCAAGUCGAACGAGGUCCAAGGAAGCUUGCUUCCUGAAGACCUAGUGGCGAACGGGUGAGUAACACGUGAGAAACCUGCCUCGGAGUGGGGAAUAACUCGGGGAAACUCGAGCUAAUACCGCAUACCUUCACAUGAUCGCAUGGUCGAGUGAAGAAAGAAUUUCGCUCUGAGAGGGUCUCGCGGCCUAUCAGCUUGUUGGUGGGGUAACGGCCUACCAAGGCAACGACGGGUAGCUGGUUUGAGAGAACGAUCAGCCACACUGGGACUGAGACACGGCCCAGACUCCUACGGGAGGCAGCAGUGGGGAAUCUUGCGCAAUGGGCGAAAGCCUGACGCAGCAACGCCGCGUGCGGGAUGACGGCCUUCGUGGUUGUAAACCGCUUUCAGCAGGGACGAAAAUGACGGUACCUGCAGAAGAAGCCCCGGCUAACUACGUG
rnacentral:rRNA from 1 species